UACGGGGGGGGCAAGCGUUGUUCGGAAUUACUGGGCGUAAAGGGUUUGUAGGUGGCUUGCUAAGUCAGACGUGAAAUCCCUCAGCUUAACUGGGGAACUGCGUCUGAGACUGGCAAGCUUGAGUGCAGGAGAGGAACGCGGAAUUCCAGGUGUAGCGGUGAAAUGCGUAGAUAUCUGGAGGAACACCGGUGGCGAAGGCGGCGUUCUGGACUGCAACUGACACUGAGAGACGAAAGCCAGGGGAGCAAACGGG
rnacentral:rRNA from 1 species